rnacentral:rRNA from 1 species
GAUACGUCUUCAGAGUUUGAUCCUGGCUCAGGAUGAACGCUGACAGAAUGCUUAACACAUGCAAGUCGACUCGAGUCUUCGGACUUGGGUGGCGCACGGGUGAGUAACGCGUAUCCAACCUGCCCCGGUCUGCGGGAUAACCCGUCGAAAGACGGACUAAUACCGCAUGGGGUUCCCUGAGGGCAUCUGACGGGAACUAAAGAUUGAUCGGACCGGGAUGGGGAUGCGUCUGAUUAGCUCGUUGGCGGGGUAACGGCCCACCAAGGCUACGAUCAGUAGGGGUUCUGAGAGGAAGGUCCCCCACAUAGGAACUGAGACACGGUCCUA